rnacentral:miRNA from 1 species
AUUUAGCGAGCUGAGUGGGGAGGAGAGAGGGACAGAGAGCCUGCUUGCUUUAAAGGAACCAACCUCUCCCGCUUUGCUCCUUUAAAGCAAGCAGGCUCUCUGUCUCUCUCUCCUCCCCACUCAGCAGCUCUUCUC